AGUGCACAGCGAGUUAGUCGGAAAAUUUUACGUAUAAUACUCGAUGCUGUUCUCUUACGCGGAUGGCGUCCCUUGAGGGGAGCGUCAACCGCGGAGAGUGGUGGCAAGCAACUAACCUGUCACAUUGGGUGACUUAAGGGUCGUACGCCACGUAAGCAGACGAGGAAGAUAACGGGCUGUUGCAGAGGCAUUGGCAUAGCCCCAUGGCAUGAGGUGGAUUGUAAAGGUGGGCUCGCUUGGGAAACAUCGGAUAGUAGCGGGAACAGACAACUAAGCACAUGCGCCGAGGACAGCAGAGCGCAUGCGCCGACGAUGGGCGAGCAACCGGGAGAAAGAAGAGGGGGAAGAAACCUAAGACCAACAGCGGCAGCGGCAAUUUCAGUCUCAGUUUUGGUUCACACUUUGUACUACGCACAAGGGAACCCUCCCCAAAUAAAGAGAAUACACUGCCAACCUAA